rnacentral:rRNA from 1 species
ACACGUGGGUAACCUGCCUGUAAGACUGGGAUAACUCCGGGAAACCGGGGCUAAUACCGGAUGGUUGUUUGAACCGCAUGGUUCAGACAUAAAAGGUGGCUUCGGCUACCACUUACAGAUGGACCCGCGGCGCAUUAGCUAGUUGGUGAGGUAACGGCUCACCAAGGCAACGAUGCGUAGCCGACCUGAGAGGGUGAUCGGCCACACUGGGACUGAGACACGGCCCAGACUCCUACGGGAGGCAGCAGUAGGGAAUCUUCCGCAAUGGACGAAAGUCUGACGGAGCAACGCCGCGUGAGUGAUGAAGGUUUUCGGAUCGUAAAGCUCUGUUGUUAGGGAAGAACAAGUGCCGUUCAAAUAGGGCGGCACCUUGACGGUACCUAACCAGAAAGCCACGGCUAACUACGUGCCAGCAGCCGCGGUAAUACGUAGGUGGCAAGCGUUGUCCGGAAUUAUUGGGCGUAAAGGGCUCGCAGGCGGUUUCUUAAGUCUGAUGUGAAAGCCCCCGGCUCAACCGGGGAGGGUCAUUGGAAACUGGGGAACUUGAGUGCAGAAGAGGAGAGUGGAAUUCCACGUGUAGCGGUGAAAUGCGUAGAGAUGUGGAGGAACACCAGUGGCGAAAGCGACUCUCUGGUCUG